rnacentral:rRNA from 1 species
UCCGGUGUCUUUGGCGCAGAGGUCCCACCUGUUCCCAUCCCGAACACAGUAGUUAAGCUCUGCAGUGCCGACAAUACUUGGCUGGAAGCGGCCCGGGAAAAUAGGGCGAUGCCGGAA